AUUGAACGCUGGCGGCAGGCCUAACACAUGCAAGUCGAGCGGGGUUUUCGGACCUAGCGGCGGACGGGUGAGUAAUGCGUAGGAAGCUGCCCGAUAGAGGGGGAUACCAGUUGGAAACGACUGUUAAUACCGCAUAAUGUCUACGGACCAAAGUGUGGGACCUUCGGGCCACAUGCUAUCGGAUGCGCCUACGUGGGAUUAGCUAGUUGGUGAGGUAAUGGCUCACCAAGGCGACGAUCUCUAGCUGGUUUGAGAGGAUGAUCAGCCACACUGGAACUGAGACACGGUCCAGACUCCUACGGGAGGCAGCAGUGGGGAAUAUUGGACAAUGGGCGCAAGCCUGAUCCAGCCAUGCCGCGUGUGUGAAGAAGGCCUUCGGGUUGUAAAGCACUUUCAGCGAGGAGGAAGGGGUGUGUGUUAAUAGUACACACCUUUGACGUUACUCGCAGAAGAAGCACCGGCUAACUCUGUGCCAGCCGCCGCCGUAACAC
rnacentral:rRNA from 1 species